rnacentral:rRNA from 1 species
ACGGGGCAUUGCCCCAGUACGGCGAGUGAAGCGGCAAAAGCUCAAUUUUGAAAUCCCCCCGGGGAGUUGUAAUUUGAAGACUAGGGGAUUUGGCCCAAACCUGCGCAAGUCCAUUGGAACAUGGCGCCCAAGAGGGUGAGAGCCCCGUCGCGCAGGCCGCAGCCUUGACAUCCCCCCGUCAAAGAGUCGAGUUGUUUGGGAAUGCAGCUCAAAGUGGGUGGUAAAUUCCAUCUAAAGCUAAAUAUUGGCGAGAGACCGAUAGCGAACAAGUACAGUGAUGGAAAGAUGAAAAGCACUUUGAAAAGAGAGUGAAACAGUACGUGAAAUUGUUGAAAGGGAAGGGCUUGCAAGCAGACACGAGUUCGCUCGGGCCAGCAUCAAUUUCGCGAGGUGGACAACACGCCAGGAAUGUGGCAGGCUCCGGCCUGUGUUAUAGCCUGCGCGCCAUACACCUCCGCGAGAUUGAGGCCUGCUCCAAAAGGAUGCUGGCGUAAUGGUUGCAAGUCGCCCGUCUUGAMMCAMRRACACAAAAA